rnacentral:snRNA from 14 species
AUACUUACCUUGUUCCAGUAUCCCGAGAUCAAGAACACGGGGUACUAGCAGAGGAGGCCUGCAUUGCACACCGCGGAGUCGUCCUGUGCUCAAUUGUCCUUCGGGGCCAUUGGGGGCGUAAUUUUUGAUUUCUCUCUUAUUUUCCAUUGUGGAC